UUAAAAAAUGUUUGUUGUAUGAAUGAAUGAAAUCAAACAAACAUAAUGGAAUUCUGGGAAAUGACUAUAAAAGAAAAGAACAGAAUCCAGUUUCAAGCAUCUCAGAAUGUUACCAACAGUGAAGGAAAAGGGCCUCACAUAUAGGCAAAAUAUAGAUGCAGUUCCAACAUGAAGGAUUUUCAUAUCCACUCAUCUUAAGAGAGUUAAUAAUCCCUGCUACUUCAUGGACACAGUGAGAGGAGUUCUUGCCAUCGCAUAUAGUUUCCCAGGAGAUGAAAUCAU